rnacentral:rRNA from 1 species
UACAUAGGGGGCAAGCGUUAUCCGGAUUUACUGGGCGUAAAGGGUGCGUAGGUUGUUAUUUAAGUUCUUGGUGUAAGUGCAGUGCUCAACGCUGUGAUGCUAAGGAAACUGGAUAGCUAGAGUUAGAUAGAGGCAAGUGGAAUUCCAUGUGUAGCGGUAAAAUGCGUAAAUAUAUGGAGGAACACCAGUGGCGAAGGCGGCUUGCUGGGUCUAUACUGACGCUGAUGCACGAAAGCGUGGGGAGCAAACAGG